UACAGAGGUCUCAAGCGUUGUUCGGAUUCAUUGGGCGUAAAGGGCGCGUAGGCUGCGGGGUAAGUCAGGUGUGAAAUCUCAGAGCUCAACUCUGAAAUUGCACUUGAUACUGCUCUGCUAGAGGACUGGAGGGGAGAUUGGAAUUCACGGUGUAGCAGUGAAAUGCGUAGAUAUCGUGAGGAAGACCGGUGGCGAAGGCGGAUCUCUGGACAGUUCCUGACGCUGAGGCGCGAAGGCCAGGGGAGCAAACGGG
rnacentral:rRNA from 1 species